rnacentral:other from 1 species
CGUCCUCUGCUGUGUCCGACAGCGCACGCAAACAUUCGCCUUGUCCCUUAUUGACGACCACGGGUAGGCAACGGUAGCCGGGAGUGCAAGUCCGCCUCGUAGCGGGAAGCCCGAUGGAAACCCAGCCUUCCCACUUGAACCCCGGGUUCAAGGUCGUUUCGUGAACAUCGGCAUUGGCGGAGGACGU